GCAUGACCGUAAGGACAUGUGGACAGUAUGGGAGUGAGAAUGUUGGCAUGAGUAGCGAGAUGUGGGUGAGAAUCCCACAGGCCGUAAACCCAAGGUUUCCAGGGGAAGGUUCGUCCGCCCUGGGUUAGUCGGGACCUAAGCUGAGGCCGAAAGGCGUAGGUGAUGGACAACAGGUUGAUAUUCCUGUACUACCGAUAACCGUUUGAGAGAAGGGAUGACACAGUAGGAUAAGCUAAGCACACUGUUGGUUAUGUGUGCCCAAGCAUUGAGGCAGUCAAAGUAGGCAAAUCCGCUUUGAUAAUGCUGGGAUGUGAUGGGGAGCGAAAUUUAGUAGCGAAGUAGCUGAUUUCACACUGUCAAGAAAAGUCUCUAUCGAGGUUAAAGGUACCCGUACCGCAAACCGACACAGGUGGGUGAGGAGAGUAUCCUAAGGCCAGCGAGAGAACUGUUGUUAAGGAACUCGGCAAAAUGACCCCGUAACUUAGGGAUAAGGGGUGCCACCAUCAGGUGGCCGCAGAGAAUAGGCCCAAGCGACUGUUUACCAAAAACAUAGGUUUCUGCUAAGUCGCAAGACGAUGUAUAGGAGCUGACGCCUGCCCGGUGCUGGAAGGUUAAGGGGAUCUGUUAGAGCAAUCGAAGCAGUGAACUUAAGCCCCAGUAAACGGCGGCCGUAACUAUAACGGUCCUAAGGUAGCGAAAUUCCUUGUCGGGUAAGUUCCGACCCGCACGAAAGGCGUAACGAUUUGGGCACUGUCUCAACAACAGACUCGGUGAAAUUGUAAUUCCGGUGAAGAUGCCGGAUACCUGCGACAGGACGGAAAGACCCCAUGGAGCUUUACUGUAGCUUGACAUUGGGUCUUGGUACUACAUGUACAGGAUAGGUGGGAGGCUUUGAAACCAGGACGCCAGUUUUGGCGGAGCCAUCCUUGGGAUACCACCCUUGUAGUACUGGGACUCUAACCAUAGGCCAUGAAUCUGGUCUUGGGACACUGUCAGGUGGGCAGUUUGACUGGGGCGGUCGCCUCCCAAAAGGUAACGGAGGCGCUCAAAGGUUCUCUCAGUACGGUCGGAAAUCGUACGUAGAGUGUAAAGGCAAAAGAGAGCUUGAUUGCAAGACAUACAGGUCGAGCAAGGAUGAAAAUCGGACUUAGUGAUCCGGUGGUUCUGCGUGGAAGGGCCAUCGCUCAACGGAUAAAAGCUACCCUGGGGAUAACAGGCUUAUCUCCCCCAAGAGUCCACAUCGACGGGGAGGUUUGGCACCUCGAUGUCGGCUCAUCACAUCCUGGGGCUGUAGUAGGUCCCAAGGGUUGGGCUGUUCGCCCAUUAAAGUGGUACGCGAGCUGGGUUCAGAACGUCGUGAGACAGUUCGGUCCCUAUCCGUCGCAGGCGUAGGAAAUUUGAGAAGACCUGUCCUUAGUACGAGAGGACCGGGAUGGACGUACCUCUGGUGUACCAGUUGUCUGCCAAGGGCAUGGCUGGGUAGCUUGUACGGAAUGGAUAAGCGCUGAAAGCAUCUAAGCGCGAAGCCAACUUCAAGAUAAGAUUUCCCACCGCAAGGGUAAGACCCCAGAAAGACUAUCUGGUUGAUAGGUCGAAGGUGUAAGUGCAGCAAUGUAUUUAGCUUAUCGAUACUAAUAGGUCGAGGACUUGACCAA
rnacentral:rRNA from 1 species